rnacentral:rRNA from 1 species
CGGGUGAGUAAUGCGUGACCAACCUGCCCCAUGCUCCAGAAUAGCUCUUGGAAACGGGUGGUAAUGCUGGAUGCUCCAACUUGACGCAUGUCUUGUUGGGAAAGUGUUUAGUGGCAUGGGAUGGGGUCGCGUCCUAUCAGCUUGUAGGCGGGGUAAUGGCCCACCUAGGCUUCGACGGGUAGCCGGCCUGAGAGGGCGGACGGCCACAUUGGGACUGAGAUGCGGCCCAGACUCCUACGGGAGGCAGCAGAU